CCAAUAGCGUAUAUUAAAGUUGUUGCAGUUAAAAAGCUCGUAGUUGAACUUCGGGGUUUAUUCAUUGGUCAGGCUUAAUUGUCUGUACUGGUGAGAUGAAUCUCUACCUUCUGAGGAACUUUCAUGCCAUUCAGUUGGUGUGAUAGGAAAUCAGGACUAUUACUUUGAAAAAAUUAGAGUGUUUACAGCAGGCUAACGUCUGAAUAUAUUAGCAUGGAAUAAUGAAAUAGGACGGCUUGGUUCUAUUUCGUUGGUUUCUAGGAUAACCGUAAUGAUUAAUAGGGAUCGUUGGGGGCAUUAGUAUUCAGGUGUCAGAGGUGAAAUUCUUGGAUUUAUUGAAGACUAACUACUGCGAAAGCAUUUGCCAAGGAUGUUUUCAUUAAUCAAGAACGAAAGUUAGGGGAUCGAAGACGAUCAGAUACCGUCGUAGUCUUAACCAUAAACUAUGCCGACUAGGGAUCGGACGAAGUUAAUUUUAUAAUGACGCGUUCGGCACCUUACG
rnacentral:rRNA from 1 species